UUUAUCCAAUGUUCUUCUGGUCCUUAGUUACCUAAACCUAAAGCCUACCCUGGUAUUGGAAAGGGAAGAAUAUGAUAGGUACCCAAAAGACAGAUUAUGAUGGUAUGAGUUGGAAUCCUGACAGGAAGAGGUCACAAUCAUCUUUGAAGAGAAUUAAAUGAAAGAACUACUUUCAGAGGUGCAGGUAGUUAAGGGUAAGUUAAGGAUACCCAGACCCCCGGAACUAGCUGCAGCAGGAUGCUUCUGCCAUCCUGGGCUGAAAAGGGAAAAGGGCAAGACUAUGUUACCAGAGCCUUAUGAGGAUCUCCAUUGACCAAAGCAAACUGAAACAAGCAACAGUCAUGGGAGUCCAGAGGCUGGGCUGCUGGCAGUGACUAAAGGAAUCAUCUAGUAGUUUAAAGAAGGUAAGUCAUUUAUUUUUUUUUAAGUUUAUUUGUUUAUUUUGAGAGACAGCACGAAUCAGGGAGAGGCAGAGAGAGAGAAUCCCAAGCAGGCUCUGCAUUACUAAUACACAGCCAGGUGUGGGCCCGAACCCAUGAGCCUCGAGAUCAUGACUCAGGCAGCAAUCAAGAGCCAGAAGGGUAACCAACUGACCCUCCCAGGUGCCCCAACG